UUGGUAGAGUGCUUCCUUCGUAUGUACAAGGCCCUGGGUUCAAUCCCCAGCACCACCAAAAAAAAAAAGAGAGAGAGAGAGAGAGAGAGAGAGAGAGACAGACAGACAGACUACAGCUCAUUUUUUAAGGAAGAAUACUUGGUAAGUAUGGUAUUUUUUAAAAUUUGAUAUCAACUUUAACAGAACAUUUUACCCCUUCAUAAGAUCUUUUUUUCCUUGUUCUUCUAGAAAGCCUCUUAUGUAGGCAGCCUCUCCAAACUUAAAGCCCAUUCAUGUUGAGUCAUGUGACUGGAUCCCUGCUGAUACAAGCUUCUGUUCUAGGGUACUGAAACCAGUUUUAUUUUAGCCCCUUCAACCUUGGCAGAAAACUAAGAAUUGCCUGAAAUACUUUUGAAAGCUAUUGGAAGCCCAAGAAAAACCUGGAUUUGAAAAAGAGAUAAUUGAGAAUUGAGGAAGGAUGCUUCAACCUUCGACAUUGAAUAUACUGGUUCACAGGCUGAGACAGGACCAUCCUCUUGGCUGCCUUUACAGGUCAGGGAAGGGCUGAGACAAUACACCUGUUUUCUGCUUCUAAACUCUUUGACUUUAGGUUAGUUUAAAUGAAGUUUCUCUUGGUAGAAUGUAAAUAUGGAAGGCUAUCAUAUACAACAGCGAGCUCUGUGUCUGUCUCCAUCAUAGUGAUUCCCUGGGCACAAUAAGAAAGCCAUGGCUGGAAUGUGGGGAUGUGGUGUUCCUAUCUCCUUAUAACACAUUCUCCCUUGUAUUUUAUGUGGUGUUUGAGGCAUCUCUCAAGGCCACAUAAUAAGAAGUUUCCCACCAAACAAAGCAAAGGAAUAUCCAUGAUGUGAGGCUCCCAGCAUUGUCUAAGACUUAAGAAGGCAGAAUAAUUCUUUUCUUUUUCUCUGGAUCCCAGAAAGUAAAAACCAUGUAUGGUUUUUCCCCUUAGGUUAUUAGACAAAGUCAGAUCUUCCAAAUCUUGGUUUGCCUGACCAUUCAAAUCCACUACAUCUUCACACUGUUGGUAAAGACCUAGCAUCACUGGGAAAGAAGAUGUAAGGUACCUUUGCAACCUUCUCCACCAACCUUAAAACUGGAAAUGCUCGAUUGAGGUGCCAUUAUAUUUUUCAGAUAUAUGCCAGAGGCAGUUCUAAGAAUGUAUUAAUAGGAUGGAGAUAGCUCAAGACAAGAGCUUCAGAGAGAAAAGAGCUGUGAAGUGCUUUAUUUAAGAGGGUGGCCUUUCUUUUGGGACUAGAUUCAAGUAUCUUACUUUGUCCUUUUUAUCUUAUUGGACAGGCUAUGUAAUAGAGACUUUGAAUUUUGACUUUGAGCUGUAGAAACACAGAAACUUUCCUCAUUCUUUUAACUUCUGGUUGCUCAUUUUAUUCAUUACUAUUUUAUGGUGUAGGCAACGUCACUGGAAGGUCAGUCACAGAAACUGAGAAUCCAAGAAUAGAGAAAAACUCUGAACAUAAAACAUUGUUUAAUUCUAUGUUUUUAAUUAAAAUUAUUUUAUUUACUUAAUCUUUGCCCAAUUUAAGAUAGAAUGUUAAACAUUUUUUUUUUCUGUUAAGGAAUGACUUUGUCAUAUAUGAGCUGUUUUUGAGAAUCCUUAUUACUCUUGUGUUUUCCUAAUGUGCUUCUUCAGGCAUAGGAAGCAAUUCUUUCUCUUUUCUUUAGAAUAUUUAUAAGUUUUUAAGUGGAC
rnacentral:lncRNA from 1 species